AGCUCCAGGCAGGGACAGUAUCGCAGGACGCCCACUGGCGUCACAACACCUUCACCAGGGUGUGUGACAGUUUGCCCUGCUUUCCUCAAGAAGCUGACGUUAAGGAACUUGCCCAGGGCCAUGCUGCCAGGAAGUGGCAAGGGAAGGGGUUUGAAUCCAGGCUCUUGACCUCUCCUAACCACUUCCUGGGGGAAAAAGAGGAUGCUCAGCACGUGGGCUGUGAGCUGUCCUCCGACGCUGUUGCUGAAUCAUUUCCUCCAGCUGCCGCCACUGCCGCUGCGUUAGAGCCCCAGGAAGGGCCCGGUGGCCCUGGCUGUGCUGGCCUCCCAGGGACGCCCGUAGGUGGGGCUGAGACCCUCCGGGGAGGCCCUGUUAUCAGCCUGUCUCAGUCUCCGUGGCCUGGCACAGAGCCUGGCACAUAGUAGGUGUUCAGCAAACAACCGCCAAACGAACACUUGGUGAGUGGCUGUUUGUGAGUGAGGGACUUUCCUCUCUACUCCAGACAAAACGAAGCUCUCCCGAUAUUUGCAUGCUCACAAUCCGUCUUGAAAUAGAAAUAUGUUCCCCUAAAUUCCCCACCAUGUCUGGCUCCAAAGAUCUCCAAGAUGGAACAUGUCAAAUUCUGACGACCAGAACGAGAGGAGCUCCCAAGACGUUCAACAACACAGCCGCCAACCCCUGACAUCCGCCAGCCCGGGACGCGGAGGCUCUCGUCUGGGCCCGUGGAGCUUGCGCGGCGGCACCUGCAGCUCGGGCUUCCCCGGGAGCUGAUCAUUCUUUCCAGUAGCCCCAGGGGUGAUGCGAUAAAUAUGAUUAUUGAUGGUUCUGCUACUCCGGCUGUGGGCUUCCAGGCCAGGGGUUACACAUCUUUUUCAAGAUGAUCGAACUACCGUGGUGGAGAGACAGACAGGAUCACAGAAAGAAGAAUGAAGGGCACACACCACACCGUUAAGCAUAUUUCAGCAGCGAAGUGACAUCUUGGAAUCAUCUGUCCUCUCCAUCUCGCUCUGUUGACCCAGAUGCACUUGAGGUCCCAGAUGAGCUUAGCGUCACCUGCCAGACACAUAAGUGAAGGUGUCUUCAAGAUGAUUCUACACUUCAGCCUUGAGUCUUCGCAGCUGAGGCCCCAGAUGCUGUGGAGCAGAGACAAGCUGUCCCACUUGGACUCCUGGCCUGCAGAAUCCAAUCCAUGGAUGAAAUCAAAUGACUAUUGCUAUGGUCACUGGAAGAGAUGGACCCUGGGACUUGGCAACCAGGCAGAUACAGGAGUGAGGAAGAAGGGGGAGUGAGAGAUACCCCCAUGCUUCUAGCUCACUUUGGACCUGUGGGAUCAGAGGUGCCUAUGGGCCACUGGCUAGAGGUGUCCAAUGGGUAUGGGAGCUCGAUGGUGGCCAAUAUCCAUGUCCCUCGCCAAAUCAUCAGGUUAGACGAGC